UGGGGAAUAUUGCACAAUGGGCGGAAGCCUGAUGCAGCGACGCCGCGUGGGGGAUGACGGCCUUCGGGUUGUAAACUCCUUUCGACAGGGACGAAGCUUUUUGUGACGGUACCUGUAUAAGAAGCACCGGCUAACUACGUGCCAGCAGCCGCGGUAAUACGUAGGGUGCGAGCGUUGUCCGGAAUUACUGGGCGUAAAGAGCUCGUAGGCGGUUUGUCGCGUCGUCUGUGAAAUUCCGGGGCUUAACUCCGGGCGUGCAGGCGAUACGGGCAUAACUUGAGUGCUGUAGGGGAGACUGGAAUUCCUGGUGUAGCGGUGAAAUGCGCAGAUAUCAGGAGGAACACCGAUGGCGAAGGCAGGUCUCUGGGCAGUAACUGACGCUGAGGAGCGAAAGCAUGGGUAGCGAACAGG
rnacentral:rRNA from 1 species